AUGUUGGAAUCUUUAGGGAGGUGUGUUUAUGUGUGUGUGUGUGUGUGUGUGUGUGUGUGUGUGUGUCACAAAAGUAGAAUCGAAAAACAGAAGAUCUACCUUUUUUUUUUUUUUUUAAUCUGGAUAGUUUUGGGCAAGCUACAACUUCUGUGAGCCUCAGUUGUCUCAUUUUUCAAAUUGUAAUGCUAGAACCUUUCCAAAGCACAAGCUUGUUGUAAGGAGCCAAUAACAUAAAAUCAGUGACAAGACUUUUUAAACUAUAAAACGUACACAUGUUAAUAGUUACUAUUCAAAGUGCUCCAACAGGCAAAGGCAAUUCUUGAUUCCAGAAGUUAUGGUCUGAUUUACUUUCAGAACAAAUGGAAGUUGGGUAUGGAAGGAAACCUUCCUGUAAGAAAUACAGAAUAUAGCUUUGCCUGGACUUUCUCAUCUUCCUUAGCAAAAUGUGCAAAUUUUCCUAACUGACCACAUGUUUAGAGAUUAGGACAAGAGAGAAUAUAGUUCUUUUUGUACUGUUUUAAUAUUGAAUAAGCCGUAUUUAUGGUACCUAGCUUUAGGGAAAAGAAGAAAAAGAGCAAGAGAGAAAUGGUAUAUCUGCCCACCACCACCUGCUAUUUUUAGGUUGGCUAGGAAGCCCUGUUUGGCUGCCUUUGCCCAUCUCAUUUGGCAACUCUUGAGACUGCAUCAUUCAGAGAGAUAUAAGAAGCUUAAAAGGUAGAAAACUGAAUUUCUUUGAUUUUCCAGACGUCAUUGCUGAAAAAACAUUAUCACCACAAAGCAGUUUGAAGGACAUUAGCUACACCCAUACCUGCUUCAUAACUGCAUCUGGCUGUAAACCUGAACACUGAUGCUUGACCUAUUGUAAGUCAAAAAGUUAUAUGUGGAUAAAAGCAGCUUUGCAUUUUAACCUCUUUCCUAUCUUUACUUAAAAAAAAAAAAGAAAAGAAAUUUAACUCAUAAAUGGGUAGAGGCAGAAAAGCCUUUUUGUGUCUGUACGCAAAUGUCUGACCUUGUUCUGAAUUGAUAAACUACAUAGGCCUAGCUUUACUACUUCAAACUCCCAGAAUUCCUGUAGUGGUGCUGGUGGAUAGUCAAUAAAUCAUUGCUAUUGUUGUUGAUGAUGAAUAUAGGUAAUAAAAGAGUGUGGAGAUGCA